UUUUGGUCAGUCUCGUCUAAAACGGAGUUUGGAACCUCAGUGCAUCACAACAAGAUCACGGACGUUUGAGACUGAAAAGCCCCAUACGGAUUAACCAUGCAAUGCAUGGUUCAAGCAGGAUGCACAGCCAACUGGUUUGCAUGCCCUGUCAAAGGACCCUAUCAUGCAAAAUAGGUGUUUGGAGUUCGUUGGUCCCAAGUGGUGAGUACUAACUAGCAGCAACAAACUCAACCCAACCCACGGCCUACCAGAUGGAAAAAAGCUUGUCAGGCAAUACCUUACAAAAAAAGUGUGUCAUGCGACACAAGUACCCUUGUGACACCACCUCCGUUGUUGCCAGAGUCUCCCUCGACUCCUAUGAAAAGGACACGCCAUCAUGAUGCCUCUGAUAGUGACCCAAGUUACUGCCCUGAGGACACAGACAGCUUCAUCAUCAACGACAGGCCCUCCCAGUCAAGACCACCUCAUAAGAUUGCCUGCAGCAGGUGUUCAAGAGAUGCCCAGGUUGCAGCCGAACAUGCAGCAUUGAGAAGACCAGCAACCUGAUCGCUGUGUUCCCCAUUCUAUUUGACUUCACAUUUUAUGGCAAAGACCUCCCCUCCAGCCUCACCUCUUGCCUGCACUCCAACGGUCGUUGAUAGGGAGAACAGAAUUGGAUGCAUGAGAUGCAGAAAGACCUGGCACUCAACACAUCCACAAUGAGAUGGACUGGAGAUGCUUUUGCCAGACGGCAGCCUCAGUCGUUUGAUGGGGAGACCAUAAUUGGUAGCAGAUGUUGAACUGAAGCUGCUCGGAGCAGGAAGAAGAGGUUGAGCCAAAACCAGCAAGACACUAGACGGGGGCUCGUCUCAGCCUGAAGUCAGAGAGCCAGGAAACAAUCAACACAAUUCAAUAAUCACCAGCUAGGACUGUCUGUUCAUAUGGAGUCAAGGCAUUUCUCUGGGUUUAUUUACCUUGGAUCCAAUUCCAUUUGCUUUUUAAUUUCAUGGCCAAGUGGACCUCCCUGACUUCCUGGACUUCCACCCGGGGUCGGACCCCCCCCCCUUCCCUGCCUUCCCUCCCCCUGAAAACACAAACUGCGGGCACAAAGGUCACGCCACUCUCCUACAAGCCACACAUACACACGAUGAAGAGGUCCCUGGCUGCAUACUCACACGGACGCACGCACGUAUGCAUGCACACGCACACACACACACACACACACACACACACACACACACACACACACACACACACACACACACACACACACACACACACACACACACACACACACACACACACACACACACACACACACACACACACACACACACACACACACACACACGAACACACGCAAGCACUGUGCGCACACACUUACAGAUACAGCUGUCCCUGGAUCACUUUGCUUGUUUCCCCUGACAUCGUCCAUGUAGGAAACACACACGGCUGUGGCUAUCAGUCGAGUCUCUGCACAGCAUAAAGAUGUCAUCGAACAGCGACUGUAAAUCUCACUCAGUCUUCCUAGGGAGGAGGAUGUGCUGUGUCACGAGGCAGAAUACAGAGUUUCCAGCACUGUGAC